rnacentral:pre_miRNA from 1 species
UCUUCAUUUUGCGUGCUCUCUCACCGGUCAGAGAGGCGAGAGAGUGUGCGUAAUGAAGAGA